rnacentral:rRNA from 1 species
AGUGAACGCUGGCGGUAGGCCUAACACAUGCAAGUCGAACGGCAGCACAGUAAGAGCUUGCUCUUACGGGUGGCGAGUGGCGGACGGGUGAGGAAUACAUCGGAAUCUACUUUUUCGUGGGGGAUAACGUAGGGAAACUUACGCUAAUACCGCAUACGACCUACGGGUGAAAGCAGGGGAUCUUCGGACCUUGCGCGAAUGAAUGAGCCGAUGUCGGAUUAGCUAGUUGGCGGGGUAAAGGCCCACCAAGGCGACGAUCCGUAGCUGGUCUGAGAGGAUGAUCAGCCACACUGGAACUGAGACACGGUCCAGACUCCUACGGGAGGCAGCAGUGGGGAAUAUUGGACAAUGGGCGCAAGCCUGAUCCAGCCAUACCGCGUGGGUGAAGAAGGCCUUCGGGUUGUAAAGCCCUUUUGUUGGGAAAGAAAAGCAGCAGGUUAAUACCCCGCUGUUCCGACGGUACCCAAAGAAUAAGCACCGGCUAACUUCGUG